rnacentral:lncRNA from 12 species
GCAAUUUAAAAAAAAAAAAAAAGCGAGAGACAUCCAAAGUAGGUCGAAUAAAUAAUCCUCUUCUUUUCCUCUUUCAGACUCCUUAGUCGGCUUCUUAUGCUAUAGCACACAGAGCUAGUUAAAAUAACCCUGGAGAUCGCCCAAAAAUGUUCUUUUUUUAGUAUUUUAAAUAAGUGCUCUUCAGCCGGGAACCAACACCCUCCCUCCAAAAAAAAUCAUAUAUGUAUAAAAUAACGAUAAGAAGAAUACGAAGGGGGUGCCUCCUCCUCCUCCUCCUUUUUUUUUUUUUUUAAGUUUAGCCCUCUCUCUUCUGCAGGAAUGGAGUAAAAGGCAAGGAGGAGGGAGAAAAAGAGAAAGAAGAAGAAGAAUACGAGGGAAACAACUAAUAGAAUAUGUAAGAAAAGAAAAGGGAGAGAGGAGAGAAGGGAAGAGAAGAGAAGAGAAAGAGAUUGAGAGAGAUUGAGAGAGAGAGGCGGAGGAGGAGAAGAGAGAGAGAGAAGAGAGAGAAGAGAGAGAGGAGAGAGAGAGAGAGGAGAGAGAGAGGAGAGAGAGAGAGACCCCAAAAUUGAAUGCGUUUAAACGGGAGGACUCGCAGAGCAAUGUUUCCGAAAGGGGGAUCUGCGCGAAUGUCUGUAUAUAGUGAACUUUGACACUACUAUUGAAACUGACACGUUUCUAUGGAGAUCGCUGCCUUAUAUGGAGCUCGUGUCAAGGAGCCAAGAGAAGGGCUGCUGGCAACUGAUAAUCAAAGGCGACUGACUGGUCAGAGCCCUGAAUCGGGGGGGAGAGAAAAUGGGAGUCUAAGGUUAGCCAAGCCUCCAGCACGCCAUUGGUUGGAUAGCCCCUCCCCCCUCCUCUUUUUCUUUCUUUCUUUUUUUUUUUCCCCCUCCCUCUUAGCUACCUACUGACGGGGAUGGUGAGGGGAGGAGGAGGGAAAGUGAGGGAGGGGCCCUCGGACCCCGCACCGUGCGCCCUGGGCACCCGAAGCCACGCCGGGCCGAGUCCUUCCCACCCAGAGAGACCAGAAAGCAGAAAUAACCGUGUGUUAUCACGCUCAUCUGGAGAGAUGAACAUGCCUGCAAUCAUUGGGAGAAAGACAGGGAUGGAGAAACGGAAAUACCACCACCCUCCAGCCAAACCUGGGAGGACUGAUUGCAGGGGAGCUGCUGCUCCAGAUGUUGCACUAGAGGCGCUGCGAGUGUGAGCAG